UGGGGAAUAUUGGACAAUGGGGGCAACCCUGAUCCAGCGACGCCGCGUGUGUGAAGAAGGCCUGCGGGUUGUAAAGCACUUUUAGUGGGGAUGAAAUGUGCAGGGUUAAUACCUCUGCAUUUUGACCUAACCCACAGAAAAAGCACCGGCUAACUCUGUGCCAGCAGCCGCGGUAAUACAGAGGGUGCAAGCGUUAAUCGGAAUUACUGGGCGUAAAGCGUGCGCAGACGGUUGCGUAAGUCAGAUGUGAAAGCCCCGGGCUCAACCUGGGAAUUGCAUUUGAGACUGCGUAGCUAGGGUGCGGAAGAGGGAAGCGGAAUUUCCGGUGUAGCGGUGAAAUGCGUAGAUAUCGGAAGGAACACCAGUGGCGAAAGCGGCUUCCUGGUCCAGCACCGACGUUCAGGCACGAAAGCGUGGGGAGCAAACA
rnacentral:rRNA from 1 species